rnacentral:rRNA from 1 species
GACAGAGGUGCCGAGCGUUAGGCGGAAUCACUGGGCUUAAAGCGUGUGUAGGCGGGCGGGCAAGUACCUUGUGAAAUCCCACGGCUCAACCGUGGAACGGCUGGGUAUACUGCCUGUCUUGAGCCAACUAGGGGCGAGCGGAACAGACGGUGGAGCGGUGAAAUGCGUAGAUAUCGUCUGGAACGCCGAAGGUGAAAACAGCUCGCUGGGGCUGCGCUGACGCUGAGACACGAAAGCCAGGGGAUCGAACGGG